rnacentral:rRNA from 1 species
GGCGCCUUGCGCGCACCGGCGGACGGCUCAGUAACACGUCGGUAACCUACCCUCGGGAGGGGGAUAACCCCGGGAAACUGGGGCUAAUCCCCCAUAGGCCUGAGGUACUGGAAGGUCCUCAGGCCGAAAGGGGCUCUGCCCGCCCGAGGAUGGGCCGGCGGCCGAUUAGGUAGUUGGUGGGGUAACGGCCCACCAAGCCGAAGAUCGGUACGGGCCAUGAGAGUGGGAGCCCGGAGAUGGACACUGAGACACGGGUCCAGGCCCUACGGGGCGCAGCAGGCGCGAAACCUCCGCAAUGCGGGCAACCGCGACGGGGGGACCCCCAGUGCCGUGGCAUCGCCACGGCUUUUCCGGAGUGUAAAAAGCUCCGGGAAUAAGGGCUGGGCAAGGCCGGUGGCAGCCGCCGCGGUAAUACCGGCGGCCCGAGUGGUGGCCGCUAUUAUUGGGCCUAAAGCGUCC